AGGGACGGAAUCGCAGGCUGAUCAGGGUGUUGCGUGAUGUGUAGAAGGCCUUCGGGUUGUAAAGCACUUUUGUCCGGAAAGAAAACGCCGUGGUUAAUACCCGGGGCGGAUGACGGUACCGGAAGAAUAAGCACCGGCUAACUACGUGCCAGCAGCCGCGGUAAUACGUAGGGUGCAAGCGUUAAUCGGAAUUACUGGGCGUAAAGCGUGCGCAGGCGGUCCGCUAAGACAGAUGUGAAAUCCCCGGGCUUAACCUGGGAACUGCAUUUGUGACUGGCGGGCUAGAGUAUGGCAGAGGGGGGUAGAAUUCCACGUGUAGCAGUGAAAUGCGUAGAGAUGUGGAGGAAUACCGAUGGCGAAGGCAGCCCCCUGGGCCAAUACUGACGCUCAUGCACGAAAGCGUGGGGAGCAAACAGGAUUAGAUACCCUGGUAGUCCACGCCCUAAACGAUGUCAACUAGUUGUCGGGUCUUCAUUGACUUGGUAACGUAGCUAACGCGUGAAGUUGACCGCCUGGGGAGUACGGUCGCAAGAUUAAAACUCAAAGGAAUUGACG
rnacentral:rRNA from 1 species